rnacentral:lncRNA from 1 species
GCUGCACAACUMAAGGCUGUGUGCUGCCUAACCAUCCUGCGGGAAGUCACCUGCACCUUCAAGGAAAGCAUGACGGUAACAUUUGGAGGCCCUGACAGCCGACUUGGCUGCGCAAGGCUGCUCUGCGUGGGCAGACAGAGUGAAACACAGACCUCGUCCCACUGUAAAUGAAYAAGAACUUCCAAGGGCAGCAAAAUGAGAGAGGAAUAUCACUGUUUUACCAGUGAGGAAGUCAGCACUGAUGGCUUGAGUGAUUUAUCCAAAGUCAGUAAGUCCAGAAGUCGGUAACAACACAGGAAACCUGCGUCCCAGCUGCUUCUCCGAAGACGCUGCUAACCAUAAAAAUAUCAGCCGGCUUCCGAUCGUGGCACGCUCAAAAACCUCCUCGAGGAAAACAUAGUCRGUAGCUCCCCGUCCGCACAGCACACCCGCUCCGUGUCUCCAGGAGGCGGCACGUCGAGCCCUGGCGCAAAUCGGCGCUGGGGGUGGCACAGACCCAUGCAAAGCUGGAGGUGGAAAACCAGGAUCGUCGUGGCAGGGCCACGCCGAAGUUUUCCAGGAGCUCCCGAAACGCAGCAYGCUCUGCCUGGCGCCGGCGGCCUCCCCGGUCUCUCCCGUGCCAGCGGGUCCGGGAAAUGGACCCGGGAGAUGCUGGGAAAUAGCAUCUCACGCCAGCGUGUGCUCCCGAGGCUUGCGAGCCCUUGGGCAUCCAGCGGUUGUUGGUGCCGGCCUCGCUCCCGCGCCGCCGUGGGAACGCCUGAAUUUCCCCCAAAACCCAGUGCCCGGCCCCCGGCUCCGCGGGGCACUUGGCACCCGCCGCUGCCGCACACGUGCGCACGCACACGCGCACCGCUGCCAACUGCCCGUCCCUGUUCGUCUUUGUUCUUGGCGAUUACUGUGCAGACAACACACUCACCCGGCUGCGCCGAGAAACUGCGGACCGACCCAGCGCUGCGCUGGGGAGGGAAAUAUUGCUGA